rnacentral:rRNA from 1 species
UACGUAGGGGGCAAGCGUUGUCCGGAUUUAUUGGGCGUAAAGAGCGUGUAGGCGGCUUUACAGGUCCGUUGUGAAAACUCGAGGCUCAACCUCGAGACGCCGGUGGAAACCGUAAGGCUAGAGUCCGGAAGAGGAGAGUGGAAUUCCUGGUGUAGCGGUGAAAUGCGCAGAUAUCAGGAAGAACACCCGUGGCGAAGGCGGCUCUCUGGGGACGGUACUGACGCUGAGGAGCGAAAGCGUGGGUAGCAAACAGG